rnacentral:rRNA from 1 species
CGGAGAGUUUGAUCCUGGCUCAGAAUGAACGCUGGCGGCGUGGAUAAGGCAUGCAAGUCGAACGCGAAAGCCGCCUUCGGGUGGUGAGUAGAGUGGCGAAUGGGUGAGUAACACGUGGGCAACCUGCCCUUGGAUGGGGGACAACCCUGGGAAACCAGGGCUAAUACCGCAUAGUCUGUCGGGACCGCAUGGUUCCGCCAGUAAAGGAGGGGAUCCGCAAGGACCUUCCGUCCGAGGAGGGGCCCGCGCUCCAUUAGCUUGAUGGCGGGGUAACGGCCCACCAUGGCUAUGAUGGAUAGCUGGUCUGAGAGGAUGGUCAGCCACAAUGGGAUUGAGAUACGGCCCAUACCCCCACGGGGGGCAGCAGUCUAGAAGCUUCGGCAAUGGGCGAAAGCCUGACCGAGCGACGCCGCGUGGACGAUGAAGGUCUUCGGAUUGUAAAGUCCUUUUGUUGGGGAUGAAAGGCGGGACGGUUAAUACCCGUUCCGUUUGACAGUACCCAAAGAAUAAGCCCCGGCUAAGUCCGUGCCAGCAGCCGCGGUAAUACGGGCGGGGCGAGCGUUAUUCGGAUUCAUUGGGCGUAAAGGGCGCGUAGGCGGCAGCGUAAGUCAGGGGUGAAAUCUCCACGGCUCAACCGGGAAAUGGCCUUUGAUACUGCGUUGCUUGAGUGCGGUAGAGGCAAGUGGAAUUCUCAGUGUAGCGGUGAAAUGCGUAGAUAUUGGGAGGAACACCAGUGGCGAAGGCGACUUGCUGGGCCGUAACUGACGCUGAGGCGCGAAAGCCAGGGGAGCGAACGGGAUUAGAUACCCGUAGUCCUGGCCGUAAACGUUGGGCACUAGGUGUAGGAGGUAUCGACCCUUCCUGUGCCGGAGCUAACGCAUUAAGUGCCCCGCCUGGGGAGUACGGUCGCAAGACUGAAACUCAAAGGAAUUGACGGGGGCCCGCACAAGCGGUGGAGCAUGCGGUUUAAUUCGACGCAACGCGAAGAACCUUACCAGGGCUUGACAUCACCGAAAGGGACCGUGGCCCCCCUGAAACAGGGGUCUUAGGUAGACAGGUGUUGCAUGGCUGUCGUCAGCUCGUGUCGUGAGAUGUUGGGUUAAGUCCCGCAACGAGCGCAACCCUUUUCCCUAGUUACCAGCGGGUCAUGCCGGGGACUCUAGGGAGACUGCCGACGAUGAGUCGGAGGAAGGUGGGGACGACGUCAAGUCAUCAUGGCCCUUACGCCCUGGGCUACACGCGUGCUACAAUGGCCGAUACAAAGCGUCGCAAGACCGAGAGGUGGAGCCAAUCGCAAAAAAUCGGCCUCAGUUCGGAUUGGGGUCUGUAACUCGACCCCAUGAAGCCGGAAUCGCUAGUAAUCGUAGAUCAGCUACGCUACGGUGAAUACGUUCCCGGGCCUUGUACACACCGCCCGUCAAAUGACCCGAGUUGGGUGCACCCGAAGUCGAUGGCCUAACCCGCAAGGGAGGGAGUUGCCGAAGGUGCGCUCGGUGAGGGGGAUUAAGUCGUAACAAGGUAGCCGUAUCGGAAGGUGCGGCUGGAUCACCUCCUUUCUA